GGUUUGGUAGUUCAGCUGGUUAGAAUGCACGCCUGUCACGCGAGGAGGUCGCGGGUUCGAGUCCCGUCCAGACCGCCA
rnacentral:tRNA from 1 species